UUCCACGAUGAGACCCAAGAAACACGGAUCUGGUUAUAACGCGCUUAAUCCUUAUCGAAGGCGGAAUAAGAAGACUUUAACCGGACGGUAUCGCGAUACCGCUGUAGUGUAGAUUUAUAUUUCGCACAACAGUGUAGACGUCCACUAAAAUGGAUCUCGUUUUUUUCAGUGUACAGGGUGUGGAAUGGAUUACGUGACCUUUCAAGCAUGAAUGUUUUUAAGCAAAACACACUUAUAUUAUUUUGACAGUCGGUAUGAAAGUCAGAACAGUAACAUGGAGAAUCGGAAUUCCACCAGAAAGAAGACAAAUCAACCAGAUCCACUGUUGUCCUCUGAGCUGAAAGGAAGGAUGACUCAUCACACACGGUGUGUUUGGUGAUGCAGAUGAGGUGAAGUCUGUGUCAGGGAUUGAGGGAGAAAAUGUCACUCUACUCACUAAUGUUACUGAACUACAAAGUGCUAAUAUACUGUGGAGCUUUGGACCCCAAGAGAUUCAUAUAGCUGGGAUCCAUAGAGAAGCCAAUGAGAUCUCAAUACAUGAUGAUGUUCUUGAUGGGAGAUUCAAAGACAGACUGCAGGUGGAUAAUCAGACUGGAUCUCUCACCAUCACAAACAUCACAACUCAACACUCUGGGAUUUAUCGAUGGACCAUAUAUAGCAUUAAAGUGACCUCAUACAAAUACAGUCUCAAUGCUCAUGCUCAUCUGCCUGUUCCUGUCAUCAUCAAAAACUCUUCUCAAUGUUCUUCAUCAUCAGAAAGAUCUUCAGUGUCAAAAUGUGUGUUGAUGUGUUCAGUGAUGAAUGUGACACAUGUGAGUCUCUCCUGGUACAAAGGAAACAGUUUAUUGUCCAGCAUCAGUGUGUCUGAUCUCAACAUCAGACUCUCUCUACCUCUGGAGGUGGAAUAUCAGGAUACAAACACAUACAGAUGUGUCAUCAACAAUUCCAUCACAAACCAAACUCAACAUCUCAACAUCACUGAGAUCUGUCCGCCGUGUUCAGGUUUUAAAGAGACUCAUUUUUACCACUGGAUUGUAGGAGGGAUUGUGGUCUUGAUUCUAACAGUAUUGGCAGCAGCAGCACCAGCAGUAGUCAAAUACUGUAAGAAAAGAAAAACAAUACAAGGGGCCAAACAAGCAGAGAUGAUGCCUAUGAAUAUCGAAAAGGAACCCAACACUGAUGAGGUUUCUGGACCACUAGUGACUUCAAAUGGGGUCGAACACUAGUCCAACACCCUCCAUUCUUGUGGUAUAACAAUACCUACUGAAUCUGUUUCUAGCCAGACAAAGUCUUAAGAAGGAUUAACUCAGAACAGUAUUGAUAUUUAAUUUCGGAUUGAGUCAUUUCAUAACUGAGAGAGAUCUAGUGAAAGUGGACUCUAUUAAUAAGAUCUGCAAGCCAUAUACAGAGUAGGGUGUGCACGAAUAUUCGAUCUGCAGUACUUAUUCGAAUAAUAAAAUCGCUAUUCGAAUUUUGCUAAGAUAUUGCUCUGCUGGCCAAGGACGCACAUAAAUACUAAAAGUUAUACGUAUAUGCACUGGGUGGAGCUGUGGAGUGCGCAGUGAAAGUAAGAUGAGUGCAUUUGAUGACAAAAUGCCGUCCUCGACCUGUAAGCGUAGGGCGGGGUUUGGAACUACUUUGUUCAAAAUGAUCAACAUGACAUGUGCAAAAUUUUUCAGGCGAAACUAAGUUAUCAUCAUAGCACCACUUCAAUUAGGAAUUAUAUGAAGUCCAAACAUCCUCCAGAUGAGGAUCCAAUCCAUUGGUGGAACGAAAACACAAUGCGUUUCAGUAAGCUCACAGUCGUUUAGCGCACCGUUAUUUGUGUCCCAGCGACAUCUUUGCGUUUUCUCUGCAGAUGGGCUCAUCGUUAAUAGACUAAGAAGCCGAAUUUCACCCGAUCAUGUCGACAUGCUAGUUUUUUCCCCCAGAAGCAUGUAAAACAAGAUAAGUUAUGCCGACUGAGUUUAAAGCAUAAUGUUAAGGUUAAAGCUAUAUGUACGUUCUGGGGGAAAAAAAAUGCGGCAGCCUGACAUACGUAUUGACGCUUUUUUGUUCGCUCCAAGAUCCUUCUUUUGUUUGCACAAAUUGUCAUUUUCUUCUCAGCUACAAAACAGGGUGACAAUGUAUAAGCUUGUUUUUAUAUACCCUGAUAAGCUUGUUCAGAAAUGAAGAAAAAAAUAUGUUUUACUGAAAAUAAACUUAAUUUAAAUG